GAUCUAACCACUUUCAUAAAUUUCCAUAUAGAAGUAUGUCUCCUCUCUCUCUCUCUGACUCACUCACUCAAAUUUUUAAGUGAAGAGAAAGGGUUCUAAUGUUUGUUGAAUAGGGGAAGAGUCAAACCUUGUACCAUUUGACCUCCGAUUGCAUUUGAAGAGCUGCUUCUAUGAUCUUUAAGGCUGCUAUUGUUUUUUUUUUUUGGACCUCCGAUUGCAUUUGAAGAGCUGCUUCUACGAUCUUUAAGGCCACUCUUGGUUUUUUAUUUUCUUUUGUCGAUAAAAAGCCACUCUUGGUUGAAGCUAGCAGCCGGAUGCAGCGCUGUUCCCCUCUUUAUCUGCUCCCCCAAACAAAAUCUCCCUCGUUGUUGUGAGGUAAUUUCAGUUUUCCUAUUCUCAACAUAUAUUAUAAAAAAUGUGGGUCUGUUGAUAGUCCGCUACUAAUAGUACAAUAUUUUUUCCAUGAGAAUCCACAUAAAGAGCUGCCAUUGGAGAGAUUUCUAGAAUUUUCAUCACCAUCUUUAUCAUGCUUCUUUCUGCUCACUAGAAAUGGUGAAGAUGCCCAAAAUAUAUAAAAAUAAAAUAAAAAAUUAGCUUUUGUUAGUAGUAUGCAUCAGAAUGGCCAUCCC
rnacentral:lncRNA from 1 species